GAUGAACGCUGGCGGCGUGCCUAAUACAUGCAAGUCGAGCGAACGGACGAGAAGCUUGCUUUUCUGAUGUUAGCGGCGGACGGGUGAGUAACACGUGGAUAACCUACCUAUAAGACUGGGAUAACUUCGGGAAACCGGAGCUAAUACCGGAUAAUAUUUUGAACCGCAUGGUUCAAAAGUGAAAGACGGUCUUGCUGUCACUUAUAGAUGGAUCCGCGCUGCAUUAGCUAGUUGGUAAGGUAACGGCUUACCAAGGCAACGAUGCAUAGCCGACCUGAGAGGGGUAUUCGCCCCCCCUGAACCUGAACACCGUCCCGGAUUCUUACGGAGGGCGCAGUUGGGAAUCCUUCCCCAAUGGGGGAAAGCUUGCGGAACCAACCCGCCUUGGUUGUGGAGGUUCUUCGAUCCUUAAACCUUUUUUUUGGGGGAAAACCUAUUGGUAAGGUAACGUUGCCCUCCUGACCGUAACCUAUUAAGAAGGCCCCGCCAACUUCCUU
rnacentral:rRNA from 1 species